UACGUAGGGGGCGAGCGUUGUCCGGAGUUACUGGGCGUAAAGCGCACGCAGGCGGUCUGCUAAGUUUGGAGUGACAGUUGGUGGCUUAACUGCCAAAGUGCUUCGAAAACUGACAGACUUGAGGGCUUCAGAGGGACACGGAAUUCCGGGUGGAGUGGUGAAAUGCGUAGAGAUCCGGAGGAACACCAAAGGCGAAGGCAGUGUCCUGGGGAGUACCUGACGCUCAGGAGCGAAAGUGUGGGGAGCGAACAGG
rnacentral:rRNA from 1 species